GACGAACGCUGGCGGCGUGCUUAACACAUGCAAGUCGAACGGAAAGGCCCUGCUUUUGUGGGGUGCUCGAGUGGCGAACGGGUGAGUAACACGUGAGUAACCUGCCCUUGACUUUGGGAUAACUUCAGGAAACUGGGGCUAAUACCGGAUAGGAGCUCCUGCUGCAUGGUGGGGGUUGGAAAGUUUCGGCGGUUGGGGAUGGACUCGCGGCUUAUCAGCUUGUUGGUGGGGUAGUGGCUUACCAAGGCUUUGACGGGUAGCCGGCCUGAGAGGGUGACCGGCCACAUUGGGACUGAGAUACGGCCCAGACUCAUACGGGAGGCAGCAGUGGGGAAUAAUGCACAAUGGGCGGAAGCCUGAUGCAGCAACGCCGCGUGCGGGAUGACGGCCUUCGGGUUGUAAACCGCUUUCGCCUGUGACGAAGCGUGAGUGACGGUAAUGGGUAAAGAAGCACCGGCUAACUACGUG
rnacentral:rRNA from 1 species